UACAGAGGUCUCAAGCGUUGUUCGGAUUUAUUGGGCGUAAAGAGCUCGUAGGCGGCUCGUUGCGUCGGCUGUGAAAACCCGCAGCUCAACUGUGGGCUUGCAGCUGAUACGGGCGGGCUUGGAUUCGGUAGGGGAGACUGGAAUUCCUGGUGUAGCGGUGAAAUGCGCAGAUAUCAGGAGGAACACCGGUGGCGAAGGCGGGUCUCUGGGCCGAUAUCGACGCUGAGGAGCGAAAGCGUGGGGAGCGAACAGG
rnacentral:rRNA from 1 species